CGGGCGUGGUGGCGGCGG
rnacentral:miRNA from 1 species